rnacentral:rRNA from 1 species
CUAGUAAUCGUAGGUCAGCAUACUACGGUGAAUACGUUCCCGGGCCUUGUACACACCGCCCGUCAAACCAUGAGAGUUGGCAACACCCGAAGUCGGUAGUCUAACCGCAAGGAGGACGCCGCCGAAGGUGGGGUUGAUGAUUAGGGUUAAGUCGUAACAAGGUAUC